rnacentral:rRNA from 1 species
CACAUUGGGACUGAGACACGGCCCAGACUCCUACGGGAGGCAGCAGUGGGGAAUAUUGCGCAAUGGGGGAAACCCUGACGCAGCAACGCCGCGUGAAGGAAGAAGGAUCUUGGUCUGUAAACUUCUUUAAUCUGUGAAGAAACAAAUGACGGUAGCAGAGGAAUAAGCCCCGGCUAACUACGUGCCAGCAGCCGCGGUAAUACGUAGGGGGCAAGCGUUGUCCGGAAUUACUG